GCCCUUUUCCGGUUGAUCCUGCCGGAGGUUACUGCUAUCGGGGUCCGAUUAAGCCAUGCGAGUUGAGAGGGGUAAGCCCUCGGCAUACUGCUCAGUAACACGCGGACAACCUGCCCUUGGGUCUGGGAUAACCCCGGGAAACUGGGACUAAUACCGGAUAGAUCAGAGAUACUGGAAUGUUCUCUGGUCCAGAACUCCGGUGCCCAAGGAUGGGUCUGCGGCCUAUCAGGUAGUAGUGGGUGUAACGUACCUACUAGCCAGCGACGGGUAAGGGUUGUGAGAGCAAGAUCCCUGAGAUGGAUUCUGAGACAUGAAUCCAGGCCCUACGGGUGCAGCAGGCGCGAAAACUUUACACUGCGGGAAACCGCGAUAAGGGGACCCCGAGUGCCAGCACCUAGUGCUGGCUGUCCUACUGUCUAAAUAACAGUGGUUAGCAAGGGCCGGGCAAGACCGGUGCCAGCCGCCGCGGUAACACCGGCGGCCCGAGUGGUAACCGUCAUUAUUGGGUUUAAAGGGUCCGUAGCCGGCUUAUUAAGUCUUUUGGGAAAUCUGGCGACUCAAUCGUCAGGCGUCCAAGAGAUACUGGUAGGCUUGGGACCGGGAGAGGUGGGAGGUACUCCAGGGGUAGGGGUGAAAUCUCGUAAUCCUUGGGGGACCACCGAUGGCGAAGGCAUCCCACCAGAACGGGUCCGACGGUGAGGGACGAAAGCUGGGGGCGCGCACGCACCGGAUUAGAUACCUGGGUAGUCCCAGCUGUAAACGAUGCUCGCUAGGUGUCAGGUGCGGUGCGACCGCAUCUGGUGCCGCAGUGAAAACUUGAAGCGAGUCACCUGGGAAGUACGGUCGCAAGGCUGAAACUUAAAGGAAUUGGCGGG
rnacentral:rRNA from 1 species